rnacentral:rRNA from 1 species
UUGGAUUAGAUACCCUAGUAGUCCACGCCAUAAACGAUGAGAACUAGGUGUAGCGGGUAUUGACCCCUGCUGUGCCGAAGUUAACGCAUUAAGUUCUCCGCCUGGGGAGUACGGCCGCAAGGCUAAAACUCAAAGGAAUUGACGGGGACCCGCACAAGCGGUGGAGCAUGUGGUUUAAUUCGACGCAACGCGAAGAACCUUACCUGGAUUUGACAUCCUUUGACCGUCCUGGAAACAGGAUUUUCCAUGCUUGCAUGGACAGAGUGACAGGUGCUGCACGGCCGUCGUCAACU